UCCAAUAAAUCAAUUUAUUUUUAUUUUUAUAGUUUUUGAGUUAUCUAUAAGUAAAAAGUGUGAAUAUUUUCGUAACUUAAUUUUUUAUGUGAUAAAAUUAAUUUUAUUGGACUUCCAACAUAAAUUGAUUUAGCAAAACUCAGUUCAAAGGUUUAUAUCAGACCUAAAACGUCAGGACCCGCCCACCUGCAUGCAGCUGUGGAAGAACAAGCCCAGACACGUCUCUUCACGGAGCCCAAGGAAAACACUUUACCGGACUCAUCACUCAUAUGGGAUGGCCCUGUAAGUUGUGCAGCACUGUUGUGCCAACCAAGAGUGAUUUUUUAAAGCAUUACAGACUGCACCAUGGGACCUUUGGACACAGCCAUGCCUUGCCUUGCAUUCAUAUAGGUUGCCCAUGCAUGCUCUUUUAAAUGCUGGAGUUUCCUUCACUCUCAUCUGUCAAGAUACCACCCAGAAAUCAAAUUCCUCAACUCACCUCAAGUAAGUCCUUCAUUCACCUGCCCCAUGUGUAAAAGGACUGUGCCAGGAGCAUCAACGAUAUGAUGGCCAGAACGUAUACAGUUGGAGAAGACAGGAAGUUGUUGCCAAGUCUCCUGCUGGGGUGGCAGAAUUUAAGGAAAGAUGGCCUGCCCUCUUCGAACCAUUCCAGAUUAAUGAAGAGUUCCGAAGGUGCACUGCUGUUCCACUGGAAUCAACAUUUAUGUCCUAGCUGGACAGGUACACUCCGAAACUCCUGGAGCUCUUCAGUGCAAAAGGUGGAGUGACUGGUCAGCGCAUCAAGAACUUGUUGAUGGAACUGAUACAGGACCCAAGUGCCUCUGCAGUGAUGAAGAGAGAUGUGACUCUGAGAUGCCUCAUAGAGUACACGGGAGAGAGUGGACAGGAGCUCAUCUCUGACUACUGUGGAACUGCAGAGACCACUGUUCAUGAGGACCUGGAAAUGAUGAAUAUGAGCAUCUACAUCUGUCCUGAGCCAAAUGCAGUAGGAAUCAUCAUUGAGGGAGUACCAGUCCUUACUCAUCUUGGAAAUCUGGCCAAAGCAUGCUGCCUACUUCUGGGGUUGAUGUAUGCACUUAAUCUUGAGUAUCCAUCCAAACUUUCCAAAACAUUUGAGGUGUUUCAAAGACUUUUUGUGGGACUCGACACACUGCGCCCAAAACCAACCCCCAAAUUCAUGACUCUCAAAAACAAGCUUCUAGCUUAGGCAGUGAGCCAUGACUGUCAGCUUGCACUUUUGAACAGCCAUUUUCUUGUGUCUGCUCAAAAUCAUUAUACAUUGUUCAUUGAGUGGAAUUCUUCAGAAUGUUGUAACGGUUUGUCCUGUUCAGGUUUUAUACAAAGUUCCAGGUCAUCGUUUCUGGUGUGUAAAUUAAGUUUUUUUUAUGUUUUAUACACACUAAAUUGCCCCACUGUGAAGCUCCAGCUGGUCAGAAGGAGGGAUCUGUGAGUUGUUUAAGUUAAAAUGUUUCAAAAUAUACACACUGAAAGACACUAUGGUGAAGGUGUUCUGCUUGUGAAUUGUUACAGAAGUACAGAUAAUCUUAAUGUUAAAUUGUUUUAGCAAGAAACUGUACUGUGAAGUUUCUAAGUAAAACUUGAGAUGCUGAGGUCAUGCAUUCUUUUAUGCACUAAAUAAGUGAAGCGAAUUACAUUUAUAUAGCGCUUUUUCUCAAGUGACUCAAAGCGCUUUACAUUGUGAAACCCAAUAUCUAAGUUACAUUUUAAACCAGUGUGGGUGGCACUGGGAGCAGGUGGGUAAUGUGUCUUGCCCAAGGACACAACGGCAGUGACUAGGAUGGCGGAAGCGGGGAUCGAACCUGCAACCCUCAAGUUGCUGGCACGGCCGCUCUACCAACCGAGUUAUACCGUAUACUGAUGUUCUUGACUGUUAAUACUCUCCAGCUUAUUGACACGGUUUGGAUAUGGCUUGUGAAAAUGUUUUACUAAUAUGUAUAUGGUUAAAAAAAGAAAACUACUGUGAAGGUGUUCUAUACAGCACUUUAAAAAGUUGAGGUCAUGCAUUCUAUGCACUAAAUAUGGAUGUUGACUGUUCAUACUGUCCAGCUCAUUGCCACUGUUUUUAUAUGGUAAUGAUUUAAUAAAGGUUGGAAUUUGAUAUGUCUUGAUUUUUUUAUUAUUAUUCUAAGUAAUUAUUUUAAGCAGUUUCCAUUUUCAAAACAAAGAA